UUUGGAAUGACUGUACCAGUCACACUGAAGCUCCUAUUCAAUAACUUAUACCAUGGUCUGUCUGGAUAUUCUGAUUGGCUGGCAGGUUCUGAGUUUAUGUCAGAAGUGUAACUGGCCUUCUUCCAGUUGUUGGCUACAUUCUGAAAAGAUGCUGGAAAAAGAAAUGCAGAAUUCUUGCUCUGUGUCGGGUCCACCCUUUCUCUGGCUGUGGUGCCUCCAUUGUCCUAACACUCUUCAGCAACCUGUCAAGGUCUUUAUAUGGUGGCCACCUGGAGUAGCCAUCUGCAUACCAGGACUUGGCAGCUGGUCCAGUCGUCCCUUCUCCCUCAAACUCCAC